GGGCUAAAUAAUAGUGCUUUGGUUGCUUUAUAUACCAAAAUAAUUCCUAGGAAGAGAAUACUGGUUGUCAGUUGAGCUUUAAAACAGAUGUGAGUUUUGAUGCCUCCUGGGGAAAGAUCCACAGAGCAUCAAGGAAGAAAUCCUUCCUCGUCACAACCUUCCCCUAUCAUCAGGGAAUGCACGUGUUCAGGAAUUAAGAAGAAAGAGCAUCCAAUCCCACCUCUGUCCUGGGUUGGUUCCCAUGAGCAAGCAAAUGUGCUGUAUUAAUGCCUAUUAAAAAUACAUACAUAUUUAUAUAUAUAAACAUAUGAACAUAUUAAGAAAAUACUAUGUUCCCAAAUUGCAAAACAAAAAUAUUA
rnacentral:lncRNA from 1 species